rnacentral:rRNA from 1 species
UACAGAGGUCUCAAGCGUUGUUCGGAUUCAUUGGGCGUAAAGGGUGCGUAGGUGGUGCUGUAAGUCAGGUGUGAAAUCUCGGGGCUCAACCCCGAAACUGCACUUGAUACUGCGGUGCUCGAGGACUGGAGAGGAGAUCGGAAUUCAUGGUGUAGCAGUGAAAUGCGUAGAUAUCAUGAGGAAGACCAGUGGCGAAGGCGGAUCUCUGGACAGUUCCUGACGCUGAGGCACGAAGGCCAGGGGAGCAAACGGG